CAGCCGCCGCGGGAAUACGAAGGUCCCGAGCGUUGUUCGGAAUCACUGGGCGUAAAGGGAGCGUAGGCGGCGUGGUAAGUCAGAUGUGAAAUCCCGGGGCUCAACCCCGGAACUGCAUCCGAUACUGCCAUGCUAGAGGAUUGGAGAGGUAGCUGGAAUUCUUGGUGUAGCAGUGAAAUGCGUGGAGAUCAAGAGGAACACUCGUGGCGAAAGCGAGCUACUGGACAAUAACUGACGCUGAGGCUCGAAGGCCAGGGUAGCGAAAGGGAUUAGAUACCCGCGUAGUCCCUGUCUCUUAUAA
rnacentral:rRNA from 1 species